rnacentral:lncRNA from 1 species
CAUGUUGUGUAAGGAGGCCACAUAAAAGUUUUCAUAUUUUUGAAACUUCUAAUGAGAUAAAUCAAUUGUUAACCUUGUAUAUUCGUAAGGGUGUUUUUGAAAAGAAAGCCAACCCAAUGGCGUAUUGUAGAACAUUUGAUAAAGUCGUCGGUAUAUUAUGGAAAAAGACAAUGUCGAUGGCUAAUUGUUGAACUCGAACAAACUCAGUGGUAUAGAAUAGAUUCUCUUAAAUUUGUACCAGUUUCCUUCUUACUAUCCUGCAUCUUCUAGUGCUUCCUGAGUUAUGAGAUAUAUCUCGGCACAUGCCAUGACAAACAUAUUCUGUAGUAUGUAAUAUCAAUUAGGGUUAAGCUUGCGGAUAAGUCUGAAUGUAAUGGAAAAGUAGUCUGGUUGGGUGGACACACUCACACUACAAUUACCUUGUGUAACCUGGGUCCAUACUUCCACCUUUCCUUUCUAGUGUAGUCAGCUUACUUCUGCAUAGAUAAAACAAGCAGUAGAUUGAUAUUACUCCCAAUUAGCAUUAAUGUGAAAAGUAACAGAUUAAAGUGCUUAAUUGAAUAUAAGAAAAUGGUAAUUAUUUGUAUGCCAAAACCACAUUCUCGAGAAAUACCAAAUUAUACUAGAUCCUGUAAUUAUGUACUAUCACGAUCUCAAUAAUUAAUCAAUUAAUACGAAUAGAUUAGUCCACAAAAAAGAUAGAUUUAUGCGCUGGGCGCUAGCUAUUGGUUAACUCUAGAACAACUCAAUUUUCUUGUUAUAUGUUCCCAUUUUUAUGAUACAAUUGUUAGUCGAAUAUUUCUAAAUGCUUUGUUUAACAAUGAUAUAUUUUAGACUAUUCUUAUUUCUUAUUUAUGCCUAUAUUUACCAAUUUUAUCUGUGUCCUAAUUUUUCAGGAUACUUCCUUAAACACAUCCUUUUUAAAAAAGAAAAACUCAAACUCAAAUUUCAAAAGAAAGGCCAUAAACUAGCUAAAAAGAAGUGAGCAUACUUUGCAUUCAGGAUGUUUAGUCAAUAUUUCUGUGAUCUGUAACAUAAUUUCCAUGGUAAUGAACACAUCAAUAUAAUGCAACCUUUUCAAUGACAGCGAAAUAUGUGAAAACUAGGGAAAGGUAAGAUAGUACAUUGCUCAGCAAACAAACUACAUAGUGGACACAAGGAUUUGCUAUAUACUUAAUACCGUUGAAUGUUCUAACAAAAAAUAUAUUAGAUCACCCACUCAUCAAUUUUAGUAAGUGGCAAAUUAAAGUAUCACCAAUUCUAUCAUCAAAGGUGGUGUUAACAGUAAAAAGGAUGUCAAAUUCCACUGUAAACAUAGCUAACUACCUCUAUGUUUUAAUAAUGAAAUACUUGAAUAAACUAAAUGCAUAUAUCAUAGGGAAAAUUAGGAAGUGUCACAUAAAGUAAUGCAAAUUGAAAUACCAUCGCAUGUGAAAAAGAUAUGUAAGGCCUGGGCCCAUCUUGUAAUUACUAAUAGAAAACACUAUGUUGCCCAAACAUGUGAAAUAUAUAUAGUUUAUAUCCACAUUCUUCAGCAAGUGAACUACGAAAUUACUGUGAGUUGCUACAAUUUGAUUCAGUUAGUUUAUCAAGCAAUCUUAACUUUCUGAUUAAUUGAAGCACCAUACUAUAAAAAGAAGGGUAUAAGUAUUAUUUUACACAAACAAUUAGUAUAAUAAAUUGACAUAUUCUGGCGUUCAGUAUAGACCAAUGUAUGCCGUUCAUUGUUGACUUUUUAAUAUGAGUGGAAACUGGAACACUCUGCUAAGCCAGGAAGCGCCUAAAAGUACCUAUAGAUGCUGAUGAACAAAAUUAUUGCCUGCUAUGAUCCGUGCUAGUUUAGGUUAUCUAUGCAGAAGAAAAAAAACAGCAAAACUGCACAGUUAUGUCCAAAAGAUACAAAGCGAGCACUCGAGAAGUUUAGUCCCAAGACAUAAUCACAACUCAGAAUAUUCUCAAGACCAAACCCACUAUCAGCACGUUAAUGUUAAGUUCCAUCACCUUGUCUUGUUACUACUCUUAACUACAAGCUUAAGAUAUAACUUGUGCUUGCCCUAGUUUGCCUUUUUCCUCCCUAGAUGCAAAUUUGUGCUUGCAGCCUGUACUGUCAAUGAGGCGUGAACGGACAAAUGAGCAUACUGAAAACAGUUUGAGAAGACAAUAAAUGCUAUCAUGAUAAGAUAAAUCAAGCAAUCAGCGAUUAAUCAGGAAAUAAUAGAAAGAAAAAACAUUCAGUAGGGUACAUAAUUAGCACCACUUACUAGAUUAUUCCCUUUUCUUUAAUUCUAAUUAAUGCGAAAAAUUAAAGCAAUUGUUGUUUGGGAACAGCCAGUUCUAUGAUCAUGAUAGCAGAAAUUCACUAGGACAAGUGAUUAACCAAGCUGAUAAUUAUAACCAUAAACAUGAUCAACAUAUUCAAAUUCUUGCUAUUAUGAUGUCUUCUAGGAUUGGUACUAUAUUUUGUUAUACACUGAUAUAUUAAAAUUUCGGUAAACACUUCCAUCUAUACAAACUUGUUUCCAGUUUUCGCAGUUGUUGCAAAUAUUAUAGACACUCAACACAGAUAAUUAUGGUGUUCUCACCAAGUUAAAGACUUCUCUAACUCAAAUAAGCAAACCUUCCAUCUUUGAUGCCUAGAUCAUUCUAAAGCUGCUAAGAUGGAUCUCACAUGUUUAAUAUUUUAAACAAUCCAUAAAAAAAUAAUUCAUUGUGUUGGUAGCGAUAUAAUACUUUGUAAAAUAAUCCUGCCUUCAUCCACUUGUACCACACCUCCACUUCCACCACCUCAUUCCAAUUGGGUGGAAUAUAGGAAUAUGAUAAAUUCUGUGGAAAUUGAAGAAGCACAUACUACUAGUACACACAUUCUGAUAUAUCGUUCACAUGCAAUUAGUAAUAAGCUGAUUUCUCAGUAUAUAAAUGACAUCAGACACAACUACACUGGAAAAUAAAGCUAUGAUAUAAAAAAAGCAUUACAUUGUAUUGAAUAAGAUGUUAAAUGGUAUCAUGCUGCACAUAUAUGCAAGUUGAAAUACUGCAGAUUCCAUGGUUAUGUGCUAUAGAGAUUACCGUGCAUUGUUAUCAUAGAAUUUAUGUAAACAUAUGGAGGAAGUUUGAUUUUUUUUUUGCUCUACUAUUCUAAUUAUUAAAUAUAUAAGUUCGUUGAUAUGCUAGGCUUGACAUGUUCUAUCCAACUAGUUGACCACUGCAUCGUCAUGUAUCCAUGCACACAAGACCAGAUAUAUGCACCUACACCUUAUAUGCCUGUAAUAAUCAGCAAAAAGAGAAACAAAAGAGCAGCUUCAAUUUAUAAACAUUUCCGUUAAGUGUGUUAGGCUUAAAGAGAUGCAUUUCUUGUCUCUUGUGCAACAAUAGGAUAAAGAUGAACCCAAUUUGUGGCGCUCUACCCUUUUGCCUAUUGUGUGCUAACUGGCAUCAUUGCAUGGCUCUUGAAGUCAACCACUGUUUGAGGGGUUUUUUUUUUUCCUCUACGAAACAAAUUCACUUUUUUUCCCUUUGUACAAUUUUUCAUGUCACUAGGACAUCAAAGUCUACUAGGAGGUACAAUCAUCUCCACUCAGCCAGCAAGAAAAUUGAAGAAAACUUAAAAGGGAGAAGAGAAAGUUGUUGGGAAACACAAUAAAUUGUUGCCGACCAUGAGCACUUGUGGUAACAAUAUAUUGCUUAGGUCACUAACAGAGGUCAUCCUUUGGUCUAUGGGCACCCCAAAAGUGUAGCAAUCGUAGUUUUUUUUUUCAUUUCAUGCCUUUAAUUCAUUCAUCUUUUGGGAGGCAUCAGAUCAGUUUUUUAUUAUUAUGGACAAAUUUGUGUGUGGGAAUAUCCAAUCUCAAGUAUAGAACUGUUUGUUAUACCUUUACAUAACUUUGGUGAAAUGUACACAAAUGUCAUGUAUAGAAAGGAAAAUUUCUUUUUCAGGUUAGAAACGAUUUAGCUUUACUAGUGUCGACGUAGAAAAACACAAUUUUGGUCAUUAACAACUACUCCCUCCGUUUCAUAAUGUAAGACUUUCUAGCAUUGCCCACAUCUAUAUAGAUGUUAAUGAAUCUAGACACAUAUAUAUGCCUAGAUUCAUUAACAUAUAUAUGAAUAUGGAUAAUGCUAGAAAGUCUUACAUUGUGAAAUGGAGGAAGUAGAUAACAUAUAGAUCUCUGUUUUUCACUUACAAAAAAUUCCAAUAGAGGUAACUUUUCUUAUGAUUACGAGGAAGCACUACUACUAAGAAGCCUAUUCUGUACCGGCUAUCAGAGAUGGUUCAGAACAAGCUAUCUGCCAUAAGAAUAUCAUAGACAAGUCCCCAUUUCAAAGCCCUAUCCAAAACCGCCUUUCCUAACUAUGCUAUUAGAAACUGUUCUUUUUAAGAGUAAAUUUCACCUAACUACGGGUAUUAUGGUCUAAGUUGCAUAAAACCAUAGGGGUUUUGGCACGUGGCACAUAACACCAAAUAUUAUGGUUAUAAAGUUUCACAAAAACCACACUAUUAUUCAUUUUGACUUUGAUCUACCAUACUUCUGAGUUCUACAAUCACAUCUCAAUUUUAUGAUUUCUUUAUCCAUCAUAUAUUUGUUGCAUUCAUGUAAGUAUAGCCUUUUAAAAUUUUGAUACAAGAGUAUUGAAAAAUUAGUUAACAAUGUGGUUUCGUGAAACUUUAGGAUCAUAAUACCUGGGAUUAUGUGUCACAUACCAAAAUUCCUGUUGUUUUGUUCGACUUGGACCAAAUAGGUGGGGUUUUAUGAAAUUUACUCCUUUUUUAAAUGACUGUCUUAGAUACUCCCAAGAUUGUGCUGUUUGCCAACCAUAUCUGAUAUCUAUGGUUUCUUAAACCGUCUAUGAUUAGUAGACUGUUGCAGGUGGAUUUUUCUGAACCACCACUAAUGCAGUAUAUGUGAGGAGUUCUAUUCAGAUCCAUUUUUAAUGAUAUUUCAACAUUAUCACUCAAAUAAAGUUGAGUAUCCUACUCUUCAAGUGAAAAUUACCUUUUAAACUGCCAGCACAGGGCUCCUCUUCUUCGUUUCCUCCGCUGAUUCCUCCUCUUCUUCCCUCCUUCUCUUCUCUCUCUUGUCACUUUGCGCCCGUCUUGUAGCCAUAGGUGGUGCGCACAACUCGGUGGCCAGGGCGACAAAUGCAUCCCGAUGACCUCCAUUAUGUACUUCUCCAUGCUUCCUCGUCCAUGCUACUUUUCGAAGCCCAAAAUUCGAUAGAAUUUGCUAUUGUUUGGACAAAAAAGAUUGCCAUAACUUAAUCAGACUUGAGCAGACUCUGAUAACUGUCUAUAAUUGUGUUAUUGAACCAUCCCUAAUGGCUUUAUGUGUGGCUUCCUUCGCAUGCAUACCUAAAUAUGUCAAUGCCAGGGAUAAAUCCUUGAUGUGCACUUAUGCGUUGAAGUGAACAACAGAAUUUGAAACCUAGUUGUCAACACACCUGUGGGUAUGCCCCCUAGCACAUGUCGAAACAGACUGAGGCCAAGGGAAAAUCUGUGAAGCUCACAGAAUUCCUACUGAGCUGCACCCAAGUGCCCAUAAAGGUAAACUUUGGUACAAACGUGUGGUUGAAACAACGUAUCGAUUUACUCACACUAGUAUUGCCAAGGAGGAUACUUGCAUUAUUUGAUUGAAAUGUAAUAUAGAUCCAAAGCAAAUAAGUGGCAACCAGUAAAAGCAUACUUGAUAGGGGUCUUAAUCAUCAAACUCUACCGAAGUUUCCACGGCAUUUGGUGUAAUUCAUCCAAUCUUGACUGAAUCACAUUUUCUUCCACAAUAGUUCUGAAAAUCAUCCCAUGUUGGUUUCGUGUAGUUUGAUUUGUUCUCUAUUCGUACUAUUUUUUCUUUGUUGUCUGCUGAACCUUGGUAAACUGCUACUUGUCUUUAAUUAUAUAGUAUUCCUUUAGAGCAGGAAUUGUGGUAACAGAUCAUAACUAUUCAGCGGCUAUCCUUUUUCAGAAACUCAUGAAGUAAAUAAACUUCCUUCGGAAGAAAACUAGUAAACAAACUGAGGUUGCAACAGAAAGCAAUUAAGCCUGAUAUUUCGUUUAAAAAUGCUUGUUAGUAGCUACAAUUAUGGAGCAUAUAGAUUUAGGGAAAUAUGCUGGAAAAUCAUGUUUAGAUGGUAGGUUAAUUUGGUAGGCCCUCACAUGUCUCCAUAGUGAAGAUCAUGAUUAGGCAGAACAACAAGAUGAUCAGAACAAACUCUACCAUCAACCAGCAGGGCCGUUGGUUCAUGCAGUGACAGCACAUCAUGUGACCAAACCACUAAAACACUUCCUUUUUGUCAAUCAAAACCCUGCGAACUGAUGAACCAUGAGAUAACUUUGAGGAUCAUUAUGUAUCGGAAAAUAGCACUUAGUGUGGAGGUGUGUUGAUCAAUACUCUUUUCACAUUCGGAAAGAUGGUGCAUGGUGGUGAUGGAUUUCAGCUUUGUAUGUUCCAUAAUCAUCAGAUACACACUGUUUGUAUGCAGAGAGAAAAAUAUAUACCAUAACAAAAAUGAACCAAAAAUGUGAUGCAUCUAGUAUAUUGGCCACUCAAUUAUUAUUGGACAGCAAAGGUAAAAACUUGAGCAUUUCAGAAAGGUUAAUACCAUGAGCUCAGCCAAGCUUUAAUUGCUUGAAAUCUGGUUCUGCGACACCUACAAUUACGCAAAUCCUGCAAUCCAGGAACCAAUUUGAACCCAUCAGUUACCAAUCAUGGACUAUAUCCAAAAAAAGAAAAGAAAAGAGGAACAAAUCAUGCGUUACUGCACACCACAACCUACAGAAUUAGAAUCGACAGCAUUAUACAUUACACAAUCAGAACCCUACCACAAGAGCAUGACAAGACCACACCAAAAUCACAGGAAAAAAAACAAACCCCCCAAAACCUGACACUGAAAAAACAUUUAAAACCCUACCUCUAAAUUAUUUUGUGGGGGAAAUUAUUCAUUUAUUCAUCAGUCCAAGAUUGGCAUCUCGAGCAUUAAGCACAAGGGUACAGAAGAGCGGGAGCAGUCGGGAACUAACCGUGUCGAUCCAUCCACCGGCCCCGGCGUUCGCGAUCCCGCCGCUCCAGACCCUUCGCCGCCGCGCCGCCGCCGGCCGGCGACGGCGGCGAGGCGGCAACCGCCUUGGGGGAGAGAAGCAGGUGGGCGUCCUCCAUGAUUGCCACAGCUGAUGGGC